AGAAAACACAAGAUGGACAGUCCAGGUUUUGGGGAGACAUGCAUCCUGGGAGAACAGAGCAAGUGGGGACUUCACACUUCUCGAUUUCCCAAAUGCCCCACUGGGGGGCACCUAAAUGCAGAUGUAAAAUGGAAACAGUGCACUCUGAGUUGCUGGACCAACGUGUCCCACCAGCCAGAGACAGGAGCUGCCUGUGACGUGGCCACCUGCUUGCCGUCCCUGAAGAGCUAUGAUUCCCAGAAGCACAGAACACACAGCUCUGCUUCCUUGAAUACAAUUUAAAUAUAAGUUGGGUGGAGAGAAAGAGAUCUCUGUGGAAACAACGCCCAUUAUAAAUUGAUUGCAGACCACCAUACUGCAGGGCCGUGGGUCCUGGUUACAGAGGCAGUCUGUGUGGAUGCCACACGCCACCCGGGACCCUGGGAAUGGCCAGCAGC